rnacentral:rRNA from 1 species
UACGUAGGGUGCGAGCGUUAAUCGGAAUUACUGGGCGUAAAGUGUGCGCAGGCGGCUUCGCAAGUCGAGUGUGAAAUCCCCGAGCUUAACUUGGGAAUUGCGCUCGAAACUACGGAGCUGGAGUGUGGCAGAGGAAGGUGGAAUUCCACGUGUAGCAGUGAAAUGCGUAGAGAUGUGGAGGAAUACCGAUGGCGAAGGCAGCCCCCCUGGGAUAACACUGACGCUCAUGCACGAAAGCGUGGGGGAGCAAACAGG